rnacentral:rRNA from 1 species
GAUGAACGCUGGCGGCGUGCCUAAUACAUGCAAGUCGAGCGAACAGAUGAGGAGCUUGCUCCUCUGACGUUAGCGGCGGACGGGUGAGUAACACGUGGAUAACCUACCUAUAAGACUAGGAUAACUUCGGGAAACCGGAGCUAAUACCGGAUAAUAUAUUGAACCGCAUGGUUCAAUAGUGAAAGACGGUUUUGCUGUCACUUAUAGAUGGAUCCGCGCCGCAUUAGCUAGUUGGUAAGGUAACGGCUUACCAAGGCAACGAUGCGUAGCCGACCUGAGAGGGUGAUUGGCCACACUGGAACUGAGACACGGUCCAGACUCCUACGGGAGGCAGCAGUAGGGAAUCUUCCGCAAUGGGCGAAAGCCUGACGGAGCAACGCCGCGUGAGUGAUGAAGGUCUUCGGAUCGUAAAACUCUGUUAUUAGGGAAGAACAAAUGUGUAAGUAACUAUGCACGUCUUGACGGUACCUAAUCAGAAAGCCACGGCUAACUACGUG